rnacentral:rRNA from 1 species
GAGUUUGAUCAUGGCUCAGAACGAACGGUGGCGGCAUGCCUAACACAAACAAGUCGAACGCCUGUAGCAAUNCAAGAAUAGAAAAAGGGUGAGUAACACGUGGGAAUCUACCCAGUAGCUCGGAAUAACCGCGGGAAACUGCGGCUAAUACCGGAUAAAACCCGAGGGGGAAAGGAGCAAUCCACUAUUGGAGGAGCCCGCGUCUGAUUAGCUAGUUGGCGGGGUAACGGCCCACCAAGGCGACGAUCAGUAGCUGGUUUGAGAGAACGACCAGCCACACUGGGACUGAGACACGGCCCAGACUCCUACGGGAGGCAGCAGUGGGGAAUAUUGGACAAUGGGGGAAACCCUGAUCCAGCAAUGCCGCGUGGGUGAUGAAGGCGGUCGGGUUGUAAAGCCCUUUUGGCGGGGACGAUGAUGACGGGGCCCGCCGAAUAAGCUCCGGCUAACUUCGUGCCAGCAGCCGCGGUAAAAGGGCG